rnacentral:rRNA from 1 species
GACGAACGCUGGCGGCGUGCUUAACACAUGCAAGUCGAACGGAAAGGCCCUGCUUUUGUGGGGUGCUCGAGUGGCGAACGGGUGAGUAACACGUGAGUAACCUGCCCUUGACUUUGGGAUAACUUCAGGAAACUGGGGCUAAUACCGGAUAGGAGCUCCUGCUGCAUGGUGGGGGUUGGAAAGUUUCGGCGGUUGGGGAUGGACUCGCGGCUUAUCAGCUUGUUGGUGGGGUAGUGGCUUACCAAGGCUUUGACGGGUAGCCGGCCUGAGAGGGUGACCGGCCACAGUGGGACUGGGAUACGGCCCAGACUCCUACGGGAGGCAGAAGUGGGGAAUAUUGCACAAUGGGCGGAAGCCUGAUGCAGAAACGCCGCGUGCGGGAUGACGGCCUUCGGGUUGUAAACCGCUUUCGCCUGUGACGAAGCGUGAGUGACGGUAAUGGGUAAAGAAGCACCGGCUAACUACGUG